rnacentral:lncRNA from 1 species
CACACCCAUGUGAGGCACCAAUACCAUGGGCUAAAUUACCAGCACCUAUUUGCUGCGUCCCCUGCCAGAGCCUGAACUCCCCUGUUUACAGCCCUGACCUAACAUCCCAUUCUCCCCCAGCCAUGAUCCCAAAUCUGGCACUUUGAAAACCCUCAUCCCGCUUUUCUCACGAGACUGAGGUUUCACCCGUGGAUUGGAUGGGGACGACAAAGAGGAACAUCUUUUCCUGAGUGGGAUUUAAUAUCAGCUGGCUGAAACCACCCAAGUAAGAUUACACAAGCAAAAUCAAAGGACAUUCGGCUGAAGUGCCACCAUGGCUCAGGCAACUAAAGGUCCCGCAGUGAAGCCCAUCCCUCCCACUGCUGUAGAUGCCCCGGCUAGGGCAGUGCACCCAGACUCACUUACAGCCCGGAGCCAUGGAAUUUUACGAAUCAUGAAUUGCCCGGCACAAUGGGUGGUCAUCAUCACACUUCUGAUCUCUUGGUCAAUAGCAGGUGUUGUCAUGUUUGACUUUGUCAGUGACGAUCAGAUUGCAAGCAUCCAAGAUUUCGGCUCUGAUCCAGUGCUAGCAGUGAACAAAGCCAUUGAAGUCAUUGAAAACAGGAUAAACCAUAUGAAUGAUAUGUUUAAUGAUGCUCAAGAGCACGUCACUGAAAUAAUAUUUAAUCCGGUGGAAGCUAUUAGUUCAGCUGCUGACUCAUCUGUGUCUUAUCUGUCAGGAAUAUUUAGUGCCGAUGGAGAUUCAGGAAUCACUGAAACAGUGAAAUAUGGGGGCACUGUAUUGGAUGAGGCUACAGAAUGGAUCAAAUCCCCAGUGAGCUACGUAUUCCACUUAUUUGAAGACAUUCUGGAUAUAGUGGUUGCUCCAGUGGAUAUGGUCAGUGAAGCUCUUGUGCAAAUUUUAAGUGGGAUCAAGACUGUUAUACAGUGUAUUUCCACCAUGUUUGGGGGCAUUGAAGGUACUGCAAAGCACCAACAUUGUAUAUAUACACUCACAUAA